UUGAAGAUGCGAGCGAUCACUGUGAGUGCGAUCCUGCAAUGAUCAUAGUACCCACCCUCUGUGAGCGAGCUAUGCUGCUCGCUCAGACUUUAAUGAAUGAUCAAGAAAGUUCGUUGCCAUGAUAAACAAUGAGCUGGAGUUUUCGCAUAACUUAAUCGAAGUAUGCUUUUCAAAUUACAAACAGUUGACCUGACAUCAGAUGCAUAAAAAAGAGCGAACGUUCAAAAUGUCACGUAAAUCCACGCGUUGCUCAAGGGAAGCUCUGAAAGCUGCCACUGCAGGUUCUUCAUCCGUAGUUUAUAAUAUCAUGAAGCGAUGUUGCAGGGGAACAACCACCAAAAAAAACCGAAGCGUUUCAAUAGUACCAGCGAAGCGCCAUUGUUUGUCUACAUUAUCGUUUGAUUGGUUUAAUAAAAAUCAACUUAACUU